UACGUAGGGGGCAAGCGUUGUCCGGAAUGAUUGGGCGUAAAGGGCGCGUAGGCGGCUUUAUAAGUCUGGAGUGAAAGUCCUGCCUUCAAGGUGGGAAUUGCUUUGGAUACUGUAGGGCUUGAGUGCAGGAGAGGUAAGUGGAAUUCCCAGUGUAGCGGUGAAAUGCGUAGAGAUUGGGAGGAACACCAGUGGCGAAGGCGACUUACUGGACUGUAACUGACGCUGAGGCGCGAAAGUGUGGGGAG
rnacentral:rRNA from 1 species